ensembl:lncRNA
GCCAUGUUAACGUACGGUUAAAGUGCUUUUCUAUAGCGCUAGUGUUUUGUUAUUCUCUGCUGGACGGGUUGUUAUUCUCUGCGGAUGGGUUGACAUGCUGCACGCACAGGUGUUUGUGUAAACGUUCUUCAUCGGUGACAAACGGAUGUAGUUUGGUUGUAGGUGAGUGCUGCGGAUGAACAGGUGAGGAGUGUGCCUUCGAGGCUCAGAGACCUGGCUGACGGCCUAAUGCUGGGAGGCACGAGGAAGAAAUGGACAGCAGAGAGGGCGUUGGUGAAGUGUUAUGAAGAGCACACCCAUUGUCUCAUUCCAUAUAAGUUAAUAAGUCCCUUUCCAUCCUCUGAAAUGGCAGUGAAGCACUGAAAGAAACAGCUCAAGUGGAACAGCAUGGACCCGAGAGUGCAGCUUGCACAUGGAAUCUGCCCUGAGUACACGGCUGCUCCAGUGUGGGUGGAGAGUGGGCGAAGGUGCGUGGCAUCUGCCACAGUCCACCGCCUGAGGAGAAAUAGCAACACUUCACAUUCAAACUCACUUCCACUGCAGCCUUUACAAUGUUAGGCACUGGAUAGAUUGAAAGUGAAUACCGUGUUUCAAUGAAUCAUUUUCUUUGGCCAGGCUUUACUCUCUACCUUCGACAUUUCUUACAGCACACAUUCAGAACAGUGAAGAGGAGGUGGAGAAUGGAUCAUAAAAGCUUCCAGCACACUGUUUACACACAGAAAACAGUAGUUUGUUUAGAUGAAGUAUUAUCUUCAGGCAUUCAAUGAUAAAUUAUUAUUUUCAGGUUUGUUUUUGAGCUUUCAAGUGAAAUAGCUUUAUAUAUUCUUUAUUAUAUGAAAGCAACAUAUAUAACGUUUUCCGAAUCAAUUCCAAUUUUAAUUUUAUUUACUGGACCUUAGACAUAUAAAAUACCCCAAAGUUUGC